rnacentral:rRNA from 1 species
GACGAACGCUGGCGGCGUGCUUAACACAUGCAAGUCGAACGAAGUGGCGAACGGGUGAGUAACGCGUAAUCAACCUGCCCUUCAGCGGGGGACAACAGUUGGAAACGACUGCUAAUACCGCAUACUGAAGGAGGGGAUUGCGUCUGAUUAGCUAGUUGGAGGGGUAACGGCCCACCAAGGCGAUGAUCAGUAGCAUGUCUGGGAGGAUGAACGGCGGCAUUUGGACUGAGAAACGGCCCAGACUCCUACGGGAGGCAGCAGUGGGGAAUCGUCCGCAAUGGACGAAAGUCUGACGGAGUAACGCAGCGUGAGUGAUGAUGGCCUUCGGGUUGUAAAGCUAUGUUAAUCGGGACGCGGUACCGGAAUAGAAAGCCACGGCUAACCACGUGCCAGCAGCCGCGGUAAUAC